ACUGUAUCACUGUUCUUCAAUUUUAUUCACGAUAAAAUCAUACACACACUGUAUUGUACAUAUACCUGUAUAUAUGAAAACGGAUAUAAAGAAAACCAGAUACUAAUAAUGAUGAAGUAGAAAAAUUGAUUAAAAAAAGGGCAAAAAAAUAGAGAUCGGAGAGAAAGAAAAAUAGGCAGUGAAGCAAUUUUCCCGACGAACUUUUGCCAGAAUAUCCCAACCCCACGUUGCCACCAUCUCUCGCCGGUGAAAUCUAGCCAACAGUUACGAUUCCACCGACAAACGCAACUGAAAAUCGGCAGUCACCAUGGUUGGCCACUACUCUAGCCGCGCCGGCGCCACCCGCAUUUCCCCUUUCCCGUCGCCGGUAUUCCCUUCUCCAGUGCCAAAUCUGGUCGAAACCACCACCACAGCCGCUGCACCUCCCUGCCGGAAUCAAUAACAGGCAACCCAAAAACCACCUCCUUUCGCCGGAUAACCAACCAGAUCCAUCAGUGUUGGCUUUCACGUGCGCUGAUCCGAUCGUUGGUCAUCAAACCCCAUCGCCGCCAGUCUCCAUCAUGUGCCGUAUCUCUACCCCAAAAUCUGAUGAAAACUACUUUACUUGUUUAUUUUUGUUGUUUUCU
rnacentral:lncRNA from 1 species